CUGUGGCGAGCAGGGGCUACUCUUCAUUGCGGUGCAUGGGCUUUAGAGGUACUCAGAGGUGAGUUAUUCUUGGCUUUUGGUCCUUAAUCGAAAACGGGGAUUGUGUGACGCACUUCUAAUUUCUGGAACCAAAUAGGAUGAGGUAAGGGUUGCCAGCACAAGAACUAGCAUGUGCAUAUGCUUCGUUGUGGCACUGACCUGGGAAUGUUCUAGAAACCACAAGUCUACACUAUGUCUUUUGGGACGAGAGAGCAGGUGGGCAGGAAUCAGCUGUGAAAUGGCAAAUGAGGAGCUGGGCCUUCUGAGGGUGGUGGGAGCCAUGGACGGUUUAGAGCUGAUGGAGGUGCCCUGAUUCAGGUCAUAACAAGCUCUCUCUGGCUACAGAACACACUGUGGGGGUGAUUGUUUCCCUAGUAUUCAGUCAGCUGUAUUUUCCUCUGACAAGAUCUAAUGAUACAUAUUUUUUUAUUAUUAUCAUUUUUUUUUCCAUAUGUGGGCCUCUCACUGCUGUGGUUUCUCCUGCUGUGGAGCACAGGCUCCGGACGCGCAGGCCCAGUGGUCAUGGUCCACAGGCCCAGCCGCUCCGUGGCAUGUGGGAUCUUCCCAGACUGGAGUACGAACCCACGUCCCCCGCAUCGGCAGGCGGACUCUCAAAAACUGCACUACCAGGGAAGCCCCAUAUUUUAUUAUUUUUACUUUUUUCUAGAUUUAAUUUGCUCUAUAUUUUGUUAAGGAUUUUUUUCACCUGUAUUAAUUAGGACUAUAGUUCUGUAAUUACUAAUUUUUUGUAGUCAUUACAUUUUUAUAUCAAUUAGGUUUUUCUCUUAAAAUGAGCUGGAAAGCAUUUGAUCCUUCUCUUAUUUUCUGAAAGGACAAGUUAUUGUAGUAUUAUUUACCCUGUAAAUGUUUUAUAGAAUUUGCCAGCAGUGUUUGAUAAUUUUAUUGUUUUUGAACAUAUUUUAUUCAAUUUAUUUCUAAAUACUUCAUAUUUUGAUGGUAUUGUAACGGAUUUCUUUUUUUCAAUUUCCAAACUUUCAUUGCUAGUAUAUGUAAACACAAGUAAUUUUUGUAUAUUGGCUUUUUUAUCCUGGGAACUUGCUAAACUCAAUCAUUAGACCUAAUAGCUUUUUGGUGAAUGAGUUGUAAUUUUCAACAUAAUCAUGUCUUACAUGAAUAGACAGUUUUGGUUCUACCUUUACAAUCUUUAGAAUUUUUUUUUUUUAUGUUACUAACACAGACCACUAGUAUAAUGUUAAGUGAUGAGCAUAGACAUACUUGCAUUAUUCCCAAUAUCAGGGCAAAAGCAUUAGGCUUUCACCAUCAAAUAUAUUAGCUGUUGUUUUUUUCAUAGAUACAGUAUAUCAGGCUGAGGAAGUUCUCAUCUAAUCCUAAUUUGCUGAGAAUUUGUAUCAUUCACUGGUUUUGAAUUCUGUGAAAUUCUUCCACUACAUCUUUGAGAUGAUUGUUUUUAUUUUAGUCUAUUAAUAUAGAUUAUAGAUUCAGUUGUUAAAUCUUUGCUUUCCUGAUAAACAUCACUAGGUUAUGAUUUAUGUGUUUACAUAUGUAUAUGGCUGGAUUCAGUGUGCUAAAAUUUUGUUAAGGUUUUUGUUGUAUCUGUGAUCAUGUGGGUAUUGGUCCAUAGUGUUUUAAUAGCAUCAUUCACUUAACUAGUUGGGAAGUGUUUGAAUCUUGUUUUAGAAGAAUUUCUGUGUAAUUGGUACUGUUUCAUCUUUAAAUAUUCUUUAAGAGUUUUUACAUGUUCCAGGGAUGACCUGGUAGCUGACAGCCACCAAGAAAACAGGAAUAUCAGCCCUACAACCACAAGGAACUGAAAUUGCCUAAUGACUCAAAUGAACAGGAAACAGGGGCUUCCCUGGUGGCGCAGUGGUUGAGAGUCCGCCUGCUGAUGCAGGGGACGCAGGUUCAUGCCCCGGUCCGGGAGGAUCCCACAUGCCGUGGAGCAGUUAGGCCCGUGAGCCAUGGCCGCUGAGCCUGCGCGUCUGGAGCCUGAGCUCCGUGAUGGGAGAGGCCACAGUGGUGAGAGGCCCGCGUACCUCAAAAAAAAAAAAAGAAAAAUGAGCAGGAAACAGAAUUUCCUCCACUCCAUGUAAAAAAACACAACCCUGCCAACAACUUGAGUUUAGCACAGUGAACCCAUCCCAGGUCUCAGUGGGCAUAUGACAUAUAGAACUAUAAUAUAAAUUUAUGUUGUUUAAGCCAUAAGUUUGUGGUAAUUUUUUAGGACAGCAACAGAAAGCUAAUACAUCAACAUUAUUCAUCAAUUACUUUUUUUUUGGCCAUGCUACGCAGCUUGUGGGAUCUUAGUUCCCCGACCAGAGACUGAACACAGGCUACGGCAGUGAGAGCACUGAGUCCUCACCAUUGGAUCGCCAGGAAAUUCCCUUCAAGUACUUCUUUACUUUCUAAUGCAAGAAUAUUUCCUAUGCUCGUGUUAUACUUUUCCAGCUCCAACCUGGAAAUAGCCUCUUAUCUAAGGAGUUCUGGUUCUUUUUAUUGAAAUAUCGUAUUCAUAAGCCAAUAACUGGACAAUAAAUAUGCUCACAGCUGCUGGAAUGCCACUUCUUUCUAGGCUGUCUCAGAAGAGUUAGGGAAUGUGUUCAUAUGUAAACAUUUCUACAUACGUCGUUUUUUAUGUGUAUUUAAAUUUACAGAAAUUUCACAAAAUUGGAUAUUUAUUUUUUAAAUUUAUUGAUUUAUCUAUUUAUUUUUGGCUGUGUUGGGUCUUUGUUGCUGUGCACAGUCUUUCUCUGGUUGUGGCAAGCAGGAGCUACUCUUCAUUGUGUAUUGCGGUGGCUUCUCUUGUUGCAGAGCAUGGGCUCUAGGCAUGCAGGCUUCAGUAAUUGUGGCUUGUGGGCUCUAGAGCAUGGGCUCUAGAUCGCAGCCUCAAUAAUUGUGGUGCACGGGCUUAGUUGCUUCACAGCACGUGGGAUCUACCCGGACCAGGGCUCGAACCUGUGUCCCCUGCAUCGGCAGGUGGAUUCUUAACCACUGUGCUACCAGGGAAGUCCCAAGACUGGAUAUUUAAAAGGGUCUUAAGACUCCAAUAGCAUACUCAGAUAAGGCUUUUUUUACAGUCAAAGAUAAGAGAAAGAGUACAAUACCAAAAGUACAAUCAAUAAAAAACGAAUGGGUAAAUUGGAUUUCAUGAAAAUUAAGAAAUUCUACUCUAGGAAAGAUAAUGUUAAGAAAUGAAAAGCAAAGCCACAGACUGUGAGGAAAUAUUGGUAAAGCAUAUAUCAAAUGAGUAACUUGCACCCAGAAUAUAUUAAGAAAUUACAAGACAGUUCCUUAAUAGUAGGCAAAAAACUUUGAACAGAUAAUUCACUAAAGAUAUAUGGAUGGCAAAUACACAGGGAGUCAUUAGGGAAAUGCAAAUUAAAACCACAGUGAAAUACUACUACAUACCUACUAGAAUGGCUAAAAUGAAUGGCCAGUGUCUUACAUACAAAGGUCAGGAAGGAUGUGAAGAAACUGGAAAGCGAAUACACUCCAGGAAAUGUGAGAUGGCAUAACCAUUUAGAACACAAGGUAGCAAGUUCUUAAAAAGUUAAAUAUUUGCAUCAACUUCCAGCAUGGCAGUGUAAGGAGCUCUGCAAGACCUGAUUCCCAAUGAAACUGGUGAAAAAUUAUAAAAACACCAUCUAAAGCCUCUAGAAAUGAUCCUAAGUCUACACAGUAAAUGAGGAAACAUUUAAGGAAAUCUAAUACUCAGGACGAACAGCAAGAGCCAGUCACAUCUGAACCAAGGCCACACCCUCUCUCCCUGCUUUGAACUCAGAGAUGAAAACUCCAGACUGAGGCAGCCAAGAACACAGGGCUCCCUCUCAUUAGAGCUGCCUGGCAGAGGACUAGCCUCUCAAGAGGAGCAGGAUGUCAGCAAUUCUCAUUCUGCUCCAGUGUGCAUGUUUGGAUGAAUGAUAUUCAAUUGUUGGCUCACUCAUAAAGGCUGCUCUCAGAGUUUCUAUGUUUAAGUUAGGUUGACCAGGAGACAGCACAUGCCCUGCACUCUUAAGGCCUUUCCCCAGUCUGAACUUUCUGGUGCCAAACAGGGUUAAGACUUUGGCUGUAAACUUUCUUCAGGUCCCCGUAUUCAUAAGGCCUGUUUGAGCUGUGCAGUUUCUGUUGCUGAAUCAGAGUGGACCUUUGGUUAAAGACUUUUCCACAUUAGCUGCAUUCAAGACUUUUCUCCACUGUGAACUUUAUGGUGUUGAAUGAGGUUGAAACGCUGGCUAAAUGAUUUCCCACAACUGCUGCACUCAUAGGGCAUUUCUCCAGUGUGAGUCCUCCGAUGUUUAACAAGGCUGGAGCUGUGGCGGAACAAUUUCCCACAUUCCCUGCACUCAUAAGGCCUUGCUCCAGUGUGAACCCUCUGGUGUUUAAUGAGGCUAGAAUUCUCACUAAAUAAUCUUCCACAUUCAUUGCACUUAAAAGGCUUUUCUCCAGUGUGAACUUUUCGGUGUUGCAUGAGGCUAGAGCUUUGGCUAAAGAAUUUCCCACAUUCGCUGCACUCAUAAGGCCUUUCUCCAGUGUGAACUCGCCAGUGAUUAAUAAGGCUUGAUUUGUGGCUAUAGAAUUUCCCACACUCGCUGCACUUAUAAGGCCUUUCUCCAGUGUGAACUCUCUGAUGUUUCAUGAGGCUUGAGUUAAAGCUAAAGAACUUCCCACAUUCGCUGCACUCAUAAGGCCUCACUCCAGUGUGGAUUCUGUGAUGCUGAACAAGUGUGGAAUUAUGCCUGAAGUCUUUUCCACAUUCACUACAUUUAAAAGGCUUUUCUCCAGUGUGAACUCUCCGGUGUUGAAUGAGGUCAGCAUUGCGACUAAAAGAUUUUCCACAUUCACUACACUGGUAAGGCCUUUCACCAGUGUGAACUAUUUGGUGUAUAAAAAGGUUGGAUUUAUGGCUAAAUAAUUUGCCACAUUCGCUGCAUUCAUAAGGUUUUUCUCCAGUGUGUAGUCUCUGGUGCUGAACAAGUAAGUAUUUCUGACCAAAGGCUUUCCCACACUCGCUGCAUCUGUAAUGCCUUUUUCCAGGGUGAAAGCCCUCCCCACUUUCAGUGCUCCUAAGUGGCUCCCCUCUGCUGUGAGCCACCUGAUGCUUGGGAAGACCAGAGCUAGUUGGGGAGACCUUCCCACCCUCCUCACCCUCUUCUCUUCUUGAGGGUUUCUCUCCAGAGCUCAGCUUCUGGUGUUGGUGAAGGUUUGCUCUGAGCACUCCCUCUACAUAAACAGCCUGCUCAGGUGCCACGUCCUCAGCCUCCGCUCCACACCAACAACCUGAAAGCAGAGAAAUGCUGAUGAAUAGUAUGUAGACUUUGGCGGGAUGGGGCAGCACCCUCACAAAUGUGUCUGACACAGCCAGUAUGGAGUCCCUGGGAUUACUGGCAGGGUGAGGGAGAGCUCACUGUGCAGUGCCAGACAUGACAACCUCAUAGAUCAUGGGGACUCAUGAGUAGCAAGGAUACAAGAUGGGGUGCAUCCCAGGGAGGAAAGGCAGGGUCUCCAACACACUCCUCCUCAAAUGGCUUUCAGCAGGGUUUCAGCUGCUGGUGACACAGGAACACAGUGCAGAAGGGUGUGUCCAGGCCCAGAAAAAUGGAAGGCAAUUGAGUAGCUGGUGUUCAAGGACUAUUAAGGAUAUGUGUACACCUCAUGACACAUGGAGUGAAAGCUUGUAUUGUGACCUGGAAAACUUCCCAUUCUCCUGUUGCCUCAACAGCCCCACAAAAAAGCUGUAAACUAUGCCACCAUGUGCACCAGUGUGAGAAGGUGGGCCCCUGCCACAAGUUCUCUUACCUACCUUCCUGACUGAGACCCAGGGCCAUUUAAACUCACCAGUGAAAUCCCCUUUCACCUUCCCCCUGUUCCUCUCCUCAGUCCUAACCAGUGAUGCUGCAUCCCCUUCAGAGAAGUCCACCAUGGCACUCUGUGAAGGUCGAUGGUGCUGGCAACCACUUCUUCACUGCUGUCGCUCUUUGUCUCCUGAUCCCAUGGGUAUUGGGGGCACCAUUCCUGGAGAUCAGUGGCUCAAGAUCUUACAGGCCAGGAUCUUAGCAGGAACGUUUAAUUCCAGCAACUCCCAAUAACCAGAAGAGGUGAGCCAAUUAUUUCAAAGUAAAACAUCUUUGCAAAAUUGCUGGGCUCUACUUAGUGCCACUGCCUAUCAACCUGCCAACUACUGCUCAGCUCCUGAGGUGUAAGAACGAUCGGAAAAGAUCUGGCCACCAGAGCUGCCUGAAUGGAUCCCAACCCAGCUGAAGUCACCUUAGAAAGGGAAGCUGCUGCCUACGAGAGGGGCUACAUAAAGGAAGCAUCCAAGGUCUUCUCAGACCCAGCGGCUCAAGAGCACAGGAGAUCAUAAGGAAUUAUAAGGUGAAACUUGCAAUUUCACAAGACUAGAAAUACCAAUGAUUCUUAAAGAUUUCAUUCAAAGAGGUGGGGAAAGGGAGCUGAUUGGUUACUGAGAGCAUUUAACAUGGGUGCACAUUCAGCCCCAGAGAUGAGGCAGCUGCCAGCAUUUGGAAAGAGGCUAAGAUGCAUAAUUAAAGAUAUUUUGGCCCUCCAAGUUCAAUCCUCACCUGAUAUUUUGGGGCUGAAGGACCUCAGGGAGGACAGAGGGCAUCCCAAACGCCAGGGUAGGUGUGACAGAGACCAAAACUUUUGAUGGGAUUAUAUAGGCCUCAGAUGAGGAAUCUGAAGCCUCUACCACCACUUGGGACUCAGAAGCCCUGCCGUUAACUGAAUUGGAUUUUCAUGGCCUGGAGAUGCCCAAUAGGAAACAGUAAAGGAAGCCCAUGUGCUCCUCUGCAAAAACUGGAAUGGUUCAAUGGAUCUAUCAGUUCUUUGGGCAUUCAGACAAGGAGAACCCUGAGCCCGUUUCUAAACCAGGAGGCCCUCUUUGUCACAGAGUCCAGGAGUUGUUCUUGCAGGCGCCCAUCCCGAUACAGAGCUUUGUUGCUUAACCUUAUUUGUAUAUCUCACACCAAAUGGGAGGCCACGGAUGGAACUAUCUCCAGACGUGCCACGAGAGCUCUGUGUACCCUGACUCACAAAUUCUGAUGUAUCACAUCCGCCGCCUGGUGUGUGGAUAACCAACCCCCACGCCUAGCAUUCUUUCCCGACUUGCUGACACCCCCUACUGCCUCCAGGCUGAUAGUGGUAGAACUAGUCAUGGCAAACACACUGCACCAGGUGUCAACAAUCUUUAUCAAACAGCUGCCCGUGAUGGUGACCCCUGAUGCUUUGAGUUUUCCUGUGAGAGACAGAUGUGUAUGACACCUCAACAAGCUCAAGUCCCUCUCACAAAGUGAGAACCUGUGGAGUUGCCCCUGCUGGUGAAGGUAGUAAACAUGCCAUAGUAUCACCUGAAACAAGGUACUGGCCUUUGACUCGUUGUUCAAGAUCUACUAAAAGAAGGGGAAAUGAUUCCUGCUAUUUCUCCUUAAUAGGAGUGGCACUUAACUGUUGAUUAUCGAAAUCUUAAAGCUCAAGUUCCCCCCAUCAGGGGUCCAACACCUAACAUAAUCCAAUUAACUGAAGACAUCAAGAGGGCACCAGUGACUACUUGGCCACAGUGGAUCUGGCCCAGUAUAUUUUAUUCUGGGCCUAUGACCCCUUAAUCACAGCCCCAGUUCGCCUUUACUUUUGAAGAAACCCAACAUACAUUUACAAAGUUGCCCGUGAGUUAUUUAAACAGCCCAGCCCACAAUUACUGCCAGGACGUGGACCAGGUCCCAUCCUCACUCCAGUUCUUUAUCCACCAGGUACCUCCCUUUUCCCAUCAACCCAAGGAUGCUGGGCAAAACAGGUUGUCCUGUGUUUCCUCUCGUGGCUGCAUCUGCCUGGCCAUGUCAUAAAAGAGCACAAAAUGGGUCUACUGUUGGUGAGCACUGGAGAGGGAGCAGUGGAGGAUGGGUGGGGGACAGCCCUGGGUCAGAAGCCAGAGCUGCCCUGAGCAGCGGGCAGAGCUGAGGAAGAAAAGGAGAAAAUCAGCCUUGGCCCCUUGUUUGACACCAAAACAUCAGGGCACCAUGGAGAGACUCCUGGUAUGAUUUGAACCCAUCCCUGAGUUCCCUCUUCCCCACUUCCUCCCUCCAAGCACCUCUUGGCGUGGCUGUGAUCACGACUCCACAGGCAGGCACAAAGGGCUCUCCCCACUGCUCCAGCUGAGUAAUUUCCUGGGUCCUGGAAAAUGUGAGUCCUAAGGGAGGGACAAGGCAGGCAGGUCAAAACAACCCGCUCCACGGCAGCCCACAGGGAUGAAGACUGAAUAUUACAAACAAGAAGCUUGGAGAAGGAUCUUGCAGGAACAACCCAGUCAAGCAGUGGCCGUGUUGGUACCUCGAUUCCUGGCACAGGCCAAUCCCAUGUCAGCCAAAGGGAGAGGGCAGAACUGGGGGCACAGGACUGCCAUGGAUCUCCACAGCAUCAGGCCAGGGAAAGGCCAGUAGCGUGUGAUCCAUCGGUUGGACUACAACACUUCUGAUCCCCAAACCCUUUCCUGCACAACUUUGGGGCAGCAGCAGCUUGGGGACAGAAGGGGUAGUGUACCCAGCCCAGGCUUUCACUCACAACACCUACUACAGCACACAGGGAAGGACGCAGUACCCAUGGACCAGCUUUGGGAAGGACAGACCUGCCCUUGGAGAAGGGGAAGAGCAGAGCCCUGCCUAAGCUGUGGGGUGCAAGGAACUUACCCAGAGAGGCCAUCAGUGAGAAGUUCUCCAGCAUCACACUGCGGUACAGGAGUCUCUGGGCUUUAUCAAGGAGCCCCCACUCCUCCUGUGAGAAGUAGACAGCCACAUCCUCAAAUGUCACUCGGCCCUGCCAAGAUGGGGAUGGUUCAGUUUAUGUGCAGCCUCCUUCCCAGGACUCUAAGCAUCUCCCCAGAUAUCCACCCUCCUCCCAAGCCACCAACCUCAGAGGAGAUCCCAGGCCCUGGUGCCAUUGAUGCUCACCCUCUGCUGGCCAUCCCAUCAAUCACUGUGUUCGGCCCUCAUUGACAACAGGCAGGGGGGUAUGUGUCAUCUGAGCCCUGGUGCUGGCCUGCAGAGCCUCACCCUCCUGCCAGACAGCUUACCUGGGAUCCUCUAGAUUGUGCUUCCCAAACACAACCAAAACUGAGUCACUGUCCUCCCCUCAGGCCCCAGUCCAAGGGCCUGGAGCCAUCAGUUGACACUCCCUCCCAACAUGUAUAUCGUUCUUUUUUUUUUUUUAAAUAUAAAUUUAUUUAUUUAUUUUUGGCUGUUUUGGGUCUUCUUUACUGCACGCAGGCUUUCUCUAGUUGUGGCGAGUGGGGGCUACUCUUCAUUGUGGUGCACGGGCUUCUUAUUGCACUGGCUUCUCCUGUUGUGGAGCACAGGCUCUAGGCAAGAGGGCUUCAGUAGUUGUGGAACACAGGCUCAGUAUUUGUGGCUUGAGGGCUCUAGAGUGCAGGCUCAGUAGUUGUAGCACACGGGCUUAGUUGCUCCAUGGCAUGUGGGAUCUUCCCAGACCAGGGCUCAAACCCAUGUCCCCUGCAUUGGCAGGCAGAUUUUUAACCACUGUACCACCAGGGAAGCCCUAUACAUUGUUCUUUACACCACACCUCCUUUCACAGCCCCAACCCCUCACGGCCACCACCACCCACUACACAACAUCCUGCAUCUCCCUGGCCUCACCACGUGCCAGUGUGCACGUGGCAUCCUGAGGGUGCUUGGCAAGUGCAAUCAGAAUCCUACUGUCCCAGUGUUCCAAAGGCACUAACUGCCAGGGGCAACCCCCAGGCCUGCUUUGAAGGCCUCCUUACUUGGCCCUUAUCCUUGCUUCAUCGUCAGCCACCCAAAACGAUGCACAGAUCUCAGGUACACUCAGCCCUCUUCCACUUCUGUGUUGCAAAGCUGUCCCCUCAUCAGUCUCAGCUUCCUCUGAUACUUAUUCAAAGCCCAGGUCCAGAGACUUCCCUGGUGGUCCAGUGGUUAAGACUCUGUGCUUCCAAUGCAGGAGGCUUGGGUUCCAUCCCUGGUCGGGGA